GGGGCCCAGUCAAUGUGAAAGUAAACAGCAUUGGUGCUACUGUAGAUGCCCACAGACUACCAGCAAACACAAUGUUUUCAGGACUUCUACAACUAGGAUAAAGUGACAUAGUCCAGGACCCGAGGUCAACAGUUUAGCGGCACUACAACACACAGCAGGUCCCCUUUGACAAGAAACACUUUGUUUACCUGUCCAGCAGAAAAGUUACAGGGUCUGUAAGAUCCCGAAGCGUCUCCCAAAUGCUUCACUGAUGUUGACCCGGCUUUUUAGCUCUUGUCCGGUCUACCUCCAUUGUAAGCGUCUGCUAUUCCGUCAGAGUCUCUGAUAUUUACUUCGUUUUCUUGCUUGUGUUGGCAGUCGUGGCUGAAGGAGGAUUCAGACAGUUACCUGUACUUUUGAUUAGUUUCUACUGUCCGAUAUUGUAGCACGCUAACUUUUUUUGGGCUUGUGAAUGACACGAGGGAGCAGCGUCUGCCUCACAACCAAUCAGGAUGUGGGAGGCGGAGCAUAGCUUUGUUUACACUCAGGAAGAACAGGCCGCUCAAAUAAUUUAAAAUGUUGACUAUACAGACAUAAAAAAACACAGCGAUAUCAUUAUAUCACCAAAUGUCAUCAAUAACUAAUAGCUAUUGACUGAUUUUGAAAGCUUCUUUGUAUAUACAACACAAAAUAAAUACUUCUUUAACGGAGUCCUGCCUACCCCACCUUUAACUUUGACUUGAGCUUCAAGUAUGUGUUUAAUUUUCCCUUCUCUUAAAACGUCUCUGUCUCUAAAUAGCCGUUUCUUACCAGCAGCAGAUCUAUCAGUGACAGCGUUUUAAUCUGCCCUCUAUCUCCGAUAAGGCUGACUUUGUUGCUGUCUAGUUUUUAAUGCACAAACAGCUGUUGGGCUUUUGUCUCCUAUCAGGUAUCCUGCAGAUGAAAAGCAGAUUGAUAUCACCUCUCUUCAUGGAUUAGGUCAGACCGAAUAAAUCAGAUUCUAGAUUUUCCUUCUAAAGCUUAGAGAUAGUUUUCCAUGUUUCAUUUGGGGGCCUUGACCCUAAGAAGAAAGUGGCUCAGAGGGAGAACAAAGAGGGGGAUACUUUUUUCCCCUCUGUGACUUAUCUGUAGAAGCAUACGGCCUGUGCGACAGGUCUGAUCCCAGGUCAGGUGACUCUGUAACAUUUUAACUUAGACAACUCACACUCACUGUGACAGUUAAUCUAACAACGUUUCAUUUAAGAUCAUUCAGUAGAGUAAUAAAAUAGCCAGUAUUUCAUUUGCAGUGAUUGACAGGAGGUAAAAACACUCCUCCUGACCCUCUUGUGCGUGUGUUUUCGCAGACAGGUGUGCAGUCCCUGGACAGAUUGCACUAUUGUCUUUGUAAACCUACACCUGCUCUCUGACAGCUCAGACAACACAAAACACAGUUGUAAGUGCUGCACAGCAGACUAGACGCAGACCGCUUUGCUGGGAGAAUUGAAACGUGACGCCCUGCUCUGAGUGCCUGCAAUAUGUCAUGCUGUGUCAGGCACUGAACUCGGCCCGGACUCAUGCAGGAAGGCUUUAUUAGUGAACUUCUCUGUGCUGGUUUUGUAUUACAGGCUGAGUUUUAGGCACUGGUGGACCAUUAUCCCCAUGAGACGGGCCUCACUGACAUGAAACCGCUACAUAACCUGAACCAGAGGAAGACUAAAAUAAAUUUGGUUACAAUUUCAUUUAAAUUUGAUGUAAUCUGAUUUAAAUGUACAGUUUCACAUAGGUGUUAUACACAGGGUGUGCAAUCAAUCACAAAAUGUUGAAAGUUUUUCCAUAUCUUUAACGCCUGUCCUUGUGGUAAGAUUAGAUCCACACAGAUUCACUAUCACACAGCCGUAAAGUUUUAUUUUUUAUUCUUUUAUUUGACAGGGACAGUAAAUCAGGCAUUGUUGCAUAUAAUUAAAGAGAAACCAAUGCUGUGUAUGCAGGACUUCUAGCCGUGGCUAAUUUGCAGUCCUUGUCCCUGGUUAAACGGCAGAAAAUACAGCAGAUAAUACAUAAACCACUCAAUAAAAACUAACAUUAUAGCAGAAGCAGAAGAAGCCUAGAGGCAAUCAUAUGUUUGCAUAAAAACAAAAAAGCAGACAGAACAAGCAGUUUCUUCUAUGCACAAAAAUCCAGAGACUUAAAUAUACAUAUACAUACAUACACACACACGCACAUAGAUACAUAUGUACAUUUUUUUCUGAUAUAUUUCCUUUCUCCUGUUCUGUUGUUCCUACACAUGCUCUGACUGAUUAAAUUAUAGUAACUCAACAAUAAAGGGGUAAGACUAGAUAAGUUUUAUCAACUUCAUCCUACACCCUUUCAAACAAAGUAUGAUCUAUGUUGCUACAGAGCUGUCUCUUUAAUUGUUUUUCUGCCAAAGCACAUUGUAUAUUGUAUUUAUUUUGUUUUUCUUUUAACCUGUUCGAAUAUAUACAUACACAUAGACACACAUACAUGCCAUAAUAUACAUACAUGUAAGUUAGUGAUCACAUAUUUGUCUUUGUUUCAGCCAUAGUUUUGUUUUGAUAUUGAAGGCUUUGGGGUUCUUUAAUGUUUUUAUUUCUGAUGGUAAUAUAUUCCAAAUAUAAUAUUGGACCUUUGACCGAGAAGGAAGACUGUCCAAAAGCUGUCCUGCGCUUUGCGGGUUUACAGUUUAACAUGCUUUAAACCACUCAACAGUUUUAAUAUCAUGAUAUUAAGAAUUGAUUUGAAAAACUUUAAUCAUUUUAACACAGUUAAGAGAAGAAAAAUAAUGUGUGGACUCAUACAACUCUUACUCAGCCUCAGAGCUGGCCCAAGGCAUAAGCGAACUAAGCGCCUGCUUUGGGCCCCGCAGACAGUAGGGGGCCCCCAAGAGCAAUCAGAAAAGAAAAAAAAUAUUUUUUUGCAUGUAUGAGUGAUGCUUUCUGUGUGAUCAUAUAUAUUUAUUCUUGAAAUAAAAUAAAGUAAAAACAUUUGAGUGCUGGUUCUGA